rnacentral:rRNA from 1 species
UAUUAUUUCUGCCCAGUGUAUAUAUAAACGGCCGCAGUACUUUGACUGUGCUAAGGUAGCAUAAUCAAUUGGCUUUUAAUUUGAGUCUGGAAUGAAAGGAUUUAUGAGGAUUUACUGUCUUAAAUAUAUAAUAUUGAAUUUAUUAAAAAAGUGAAAAUACUUUUUUUUAAAAAAAAGACGAGAAGACCCUAAGAAUUUUUAGAUAGUAUUGUAAAUUAUUUUCUUUUUGUUGGGGCGACAAUUAAGCACUAAACCUUAAUUAUUUUUUAAUCGGUUUUUUUCAGUAUAAAAUAAAUUACCUUAGGGAUAACAGCAUAAUUUUUAAAA